GCAGAGUCACAUUCAGUAUCCUGUGACACUCUGCUGGUUGCUUUGACACUUCUUUGGAAGGCCCUCACUCCACUCCCUCUGACAGGCCUGGACCUCCACACAUGGCACAUGCUGUUGUUAGUUGUUGAGGUGGUUCUUUCUGUCUGGGAGAUCCUUCUCCAUCUUUUUUUUUUUUUUUUUUUGAAGAUUUUAUUUAUGUGAGAGAGAGAGAGAGAGAGCACAAGCGGUGGGAGGGGUAGAGAGAGAGAGGGAGAAGCAGGCCCCCAUUGAGCAAGGAGCCCAAUGCUGGGCUGGAUCCCAGGACCCCGGGACCAUGACCUGAAUCAAAGGCAAACUCUUAACUGACUGAGCCACCCAGGUACCCCCAGCCCUUCCACAUUCUGAAAAAGCUCUUCAUCCUCUAAGACUCUGUUCAAAUAUUGUCUCUUCUGUCCAGACUUUCUGAGCUCCCUUGGUCAGAAGCCAUACUAAUCCCAGCUGUGUUUUUUUCUCAUAGUUAGAAUCACCUAAUGGACGUUCUGAGCUUCAGAGUAAGACAGACCUGGAUUUAAAUUUGAGCUCAGCAUUUUACUAGCCCUGUGUUUCUUCAAAUAAGUCCUUCAUCUCUCCAAGUCUGAUAAUCUGCAUAAGUGAAAGAAAAAUAACCUCUUCUGUUAUUGGAGGUGUGAAUAUUAAAAGAAAUACUUUAGAUAAAGCUUAGAAUACAAUAUCUUAAUAUGUCACCACUCAGUAUGGUAAGUAUGUCACCACUUACCUAUCAUACUAGUACUAGUAUACUAGAUACUAGUACUAUCAUACUAGUAUCAUAACUAGUACUAUCAGUACUAGUUAGCAGGUCUCUUAACUAUGAAGAGUACUAUUACUCUGACCAAUAGUACCUGUACUUCUACUGCUAUCACCUUAGAAGUAAAAUAAUACAAACACAGCAAAGAGGAAAGUAGUGCUACUUGUCUAGCUUGGCUUUUAUUCACUGCCAUCUGCCAGCCACUAGAGCAGAUUCUUUAUAUGUGCCACCCAAUUUAAUUGUCCUAACUUCCCUGUGAGAUGAGUGCCAUUAUCUGACAUAUGAGGACACUGAGGUUCCCAGAAAGGAGGUAACUGGCCCAGGUUCCCACAGUUAGCCAGGGGCAGAGCCAGAAAGGAAAAUCUAGGUCUGCAUCACACUGAAGCUUGUGUGGAUAAUGACCAUGUUGCACAGCAGAAUCUGCAGGCUCUUAAUGUAUAUUUGCUAAAUGUCCAGAUUUUCCUAAACAGCAUCACCUACUCUAGUGCUUUCUUUGCCUCUUAAUUCCAGUACAAACCCUAACUCCAGUGUGAUCACAAUUCUGCAAAAAUUCCCCACUCUGAAAUGCCAUUCAGAAUCCCCACGAGUGCCCUCUAAGUGCACAGGAGAAUCUUUCUUUGUGAGCUCUUCUGAUUUUAGCUCUUCUCUGAAAGAGUGUGUCUCUUCAUCUUCCCUCGCCCCAGAAGUCUUUACAGUCUCUCUCUCUCUCUCUCUCAAAUUGAUUCUUCCUUAUAGUACCUGGAACUUUAAAUGAACAGCUUGAGCCCAGCCAGGCUAUUGCUGUUAAAUUGUGUCAUGCUUACUUAAUAUGUGUGGCACAUCCUCCCAGGAAGCCUGAAGUGCAAAGUGUUAUUAAUUUUCCCUCAGUGUUCCAGUUUUGUCACUGGCAUAGCUUUUCUUUCUUCCCAACUGUGAAAGGUACUGCAUUUCAAGUGCAAAGGCUGAGCAAAAAUGUGUGAGGGGGAUGGCACCAAAUGUCCUCUUUCCCCCAUUCUUGGACAAGUGCAUUCUUGCUGCCUCUUUUCCCUCCACCGAUGUGCCAAACCCACUGGAGCUCAUGUGAUACGGCAAACAGAAUACCCUGCUCUUGACCGGGGCCCUCGACCCCCUGGUUUCUUCACAGAUGUGUGCCAUGCAUUUUCUUGCAAUUCUUCUCCUUCCUGGCAGCUUGAAAUAGCUCUCCAAUCUCCAAAGAUUGCAAUUCAGUUUAAUUUCAGGUAGAUCCAAAAGUUGGGCAAGAACUUUUUCCCUUUCUGUAAAGUGGAUCCAUUUAGGGACUGACAAAUAGUUCAGCUGAAUUCUCAUAAAAAGUUUAAGAAUUUUGGGCAGGCUUCCAAAUAAAUGCAGGGGCUGGCUUAGUGGUAACUCUGAGAUGUUCCAAUUAAGAGCUUAUAUUUCCUGCUAAUAAUUUUUGUCUAUAAUUAAUACUCUCAUGAGUAAGGAUGCCUUUGAUAUUUUGUUUUUCUCUUCAGUAUGGAGUAGGGGUAGAUAGGGGGAGUAAUUUUUUUUUUAAUUUAAUUUUAUUUAUUUAGUUUUUUUUUAAUAAAUUUAUUUUUUAUUGGUGUUCAGUUUGCCAACAUAUAGAAUAACACCCAGUGCUCAUCCCAUCAAGUGCUCGAUAGGGGGAGUAAUUAAGAACCAUAAGGAGCAACAACAUAGAAAUAGCUAUAAAUGAAGUGAAGGUAGACUGGUAUUAAAAUAUUUGGGGAGGGAGUUAUAUAUUUACAAUGUAUAUAUAAUUGGUAUUAUAUAUUAUAUAUACUGAUGUUCUCUAAUAUAUAUAUAUAGUACUAAUUCUGGUUUUAUAUACAUAUAAUGUUGGGUAAUAUGUAUGCAAGACUCCUUUCCAUUUGUGCACUUUUCUAUUCAUCCUUUAAGAAAGACAUGGGUGGAAUAGCACCUCUCUGUACAGCUUCUCUAGUCCUCCCAAGCAAUCCUUCUCACUUCCUGCUUCCCUGCGCUUUCCACAGGCAGACGGCUGCUUCGGCUCUUUAGUUAGUAAUUAUCUGUUUACAGGUCUGUGGACUCCCAGAACUGUGUCUCCUUAAGGACAGGGAUUAUUAUGUUUUAUUCUUGUUUUCCCCAAUACAUUGUAGAUGCUCAGUAACCUCCUAUCAUAUCAACACAUACUUUCAUGAAGUUGUUUGAAUGUCAAUAGUGAUAUCAUUAUCAACAUUAAGCUGCAAUUGUUUAUAGUAUUGUCACACACUGUAGUGUAUCUCAGUUCCCCAAAAAAUGUUUGGCUUCAAAAAAGAAUAAAAUUUCAACAUAAAGCCUAAAUGUAUUUGGCCAAUCCAUCAUUUUAUUACUGAUCUGGAGCAGUAAAUAAAAUCUGUGAGACA
rnacentral:lncRNA from 1 species